rnacentral:lncRNA from 1 species
CUGUUUGUUCUUCAGAUACUUGUUGAGGUUGGAUCAUUAGUUUGAGCAAUCGAGGUGCUAUUUUACCGAGGCUUCAACCGUUGUUCGCUAGAGCUUUACCGGUGAGCUAAAUAUUCUCAUUUGAGUUUUGUUUAUUUUGAGAAGAUGUGUUAAGCAAUGUAUGUUUGUUGAAAUCAAACUUAUCCUUUUACAUGUUACAGAUCUGAAUAGAUAUGCAAGGACUACUUAAUCGGUGCUGCCAUCGUUUUGAGUCAAUUGGUUUCGACUGGUGAUCAUCGAUUGGAGAUUGAAAUCAGCUAACGUGUUGGUUUAUCUAAGGUUAUAAUAGUUUAAUUUGAUAUCUAUAGUUAUUUCAAUGGCUCAUGUGCAUUAGUUUUUCAUUUUAUGCAUGCAUAUGUAAGAGAGGAUGAAAGAUUGAGCGUCUUUGUGUGAGAUAUCUGAGGAAAAAGUGAGGUAUUUAUUGUUCAUGUUACCACCAGGCCUUUGCUAUGUUGGGUGCGCUCACAUGGCAGGUCAAAAGUACCUAAUAAAAGUAUUUAUUUUGGGUGUUGUUGAGGAGACGGCACGGGGUUUUGCCCGGCUCUCCUCUCUUCGCGUGUCUGUGUUCUUUUUUAUUUUUUCCUGUUCUUUCCUUGCUCCUGCGUUCAACAACUUUGCGACGAUCAGUGGUUACCUGUCAUUGAAUAGGCCUUGUGAUUACUGUUGUGUAUUUUGAGGCGAGGCCUGUUCAAGGACAAGUAACUCAUGUUGAUUUUCUCACCACGAUGAUGGACACAAGCAACGUUUCUACUGCAGCACGGCACUAGAGGUACAAUAUCAAUUCUCUUAGUUUAAGUUAACUUUCACUUUUUUCAUAACAUUUAUCAAUUUUAAAUUAACUGCCUUAAUUAUAACGCGUGCACCAGUACUCAUAGAGAAACUCCCAGAUAGCAAUUCUGGAAAUAUUUAAAAAAGCUGAAAUGGUCACGUGUUGGACUUUUAUGUCAAGCACUAUGGAAGUUACUUUAGGAUAUAUUUUGGCACCCGGUUAAUAGGCUUGUGAACUUGCCAUUUUUGUUAAUCCAGAGCACCUCAUAAUAUUCCCAUGAAGCGGUUUAAUAAAUUUAUGCUCAUAAAUAGGACCCCUGAUGCAUGGUGUUCCAUGAAAAUGGUAAUUACACCUUUAUUGGUAAUGGUAAGCUUAUGUAUAUGAAAAUGGAAUGAAUUCUUAGUGGCGACUGGUCAUGGAGCAUAAAAUUAGAUUUGGUAUUGCAAAGUUGUAUCUAAACUGUGUAUUAUUCUCUAAUAAGGUUCAAUCUCAUUUAUAACCCUAAAGUUUCCCAGAUAUUCAACAGACUAUAAUCAAUGUUGAUAUUGGUGUUAGUAAUUGAUUUAUUUAACUAUAUGGUGGAUAAAAUAGCGAAAUCGAACAAGCUGUCUUAUGAAAUGUUGCGGAAAACCAUGGUGUUGCCAUUACAAAAGCUCGUGAAACCAUUUUCUUUAAUUCUGCAUAUUCAACUUAAUUCAGGAUUCUACUUUUAUAUAUACUCUUUGUUUACUUGGUAAAUAAUAUUGAGUUAUUUAGUGUUCAUUACUUAUUGUUUUUAAGUAGUCAUACCUUCUUCGGCAAGAGUCUAGUUGGAGCUUAGCUGUGUUCUCCUGAUCUAUGAUGUAAUAGAUUCAUUCCAAUGGAAGUUCUUUGUUAUGGUACCCCUGUUGUAGUUUUUUGGGAGGGGUACCUUGUGUAGGCAGGUUUGGAACUUUGACCUUAAAAACAAUUGUGUAUUCUGGUGGCUUUGCAUUUGUGCUGACUGGUGCUGAAGUUGAUAACUUGUGUUGCGCUUCCUGCACGAGGUAAUUUUCUCCGGGAUACGUCACUUUGGUGAGGAAUUUGUGAGACUCUUAAGGGUGUUGCUGUUGCUGGUUUGAAUCUAUGGUUUUCAUUAUGUUUUCAAGCUAUGCUUUUGCAUAAUCAGCAAGUCUUGGCAUCGGUUGGUUUUACAAACCAUUUCAUCCAAGAUGAAGUGUUGACGGAAGAUGUUAGAGCUUGUUGCUGUUGCUGGUUUGGAUCUGUGGUUUUCAUUAUGUUUUCGAGCUGUGCUUUUGUGUAAUCUGCGAAAGUAUCAACACCAGUUGGUUUUGCAAGCAGGUUCAUCCAAGAUGAAGUGUUGACCGAAGAUGUCAAGUCUGUAUAUCCCAAAGAAUGUAAAGAAGCGUAUUUUCUGUGCCUUCACUAAUUUCUGAAUGGAAAAGUUAAUCUAGCUCGUUUGAAGAGUUGGUAUGGUAUGGUAUUUCUUUUUGGAAGUAUUUUCUCAGGAAAACCUUGUAGCAAGCAACUGAUAUAGUCUCGAACUGUGUUGUGUGCUUUCUGGCAUUCUGAGGUAAUUCAUUUGGUUUCAAUUGCCAAGACAGUAUUAUUUUCUGCACAUCUAUUAUGUGGUGGAAUUUAUUCAGGCACCCAGUGCUCUUGCACAUUUAUAAAAUAUCGUUGUCCUGUUGGAUCUCAUUAUUAAGUAUAGGUUUUUUUGUAAAACUUAUUUUAAUUUAUUCUGGUUUUUGAUAUUUGUGAGCUUAUUUAAAUUGCUUUUCUCCUGCAGGGCAUGAAAUAAUUAAAUUGCCUCCUCCUAACCGGACCGUUGCUCAUGUUUGUAAUAGUGUGGACAAUUAACAGUUUUUACACAGGCGGUCUGCUGCGCCGGUUCGACCGUCCAGUCAGAAGUCUUUGUAGUAUAGAGGUACAGUUUGGCGAGACCGCCCCUUGAUAAUUUGGUUUCAGAUUGGCUUUGUAUUUAUUAGUAGAAGAGAACUUGCAUGCAGGAUAGUGUUGCAAUAUUUCUUGACGGAUUAUGGUUGGGUUUUGUGCUUGUCUUGGCAGUACAUGUUUAUCUUUUUAACAAAUUAUUAAACUCGAGGAUUGUUUAGAUUAUAUUAUUAUUAUUGAUUCACUGUGCGCCCUGUCAUUGUUGGGGUGCACUAAAUUAGAGUAGCUUCGUGUAAACACCAUGGGUCAUUGGAUGGUCCUAAAAUAAGUCUUUAUGUUAAUGUUAAUGCAUUUCUUCUAAUUCUCACCUCUAACAGAUUAGCGAUAAAACACUCUUCCUAUUUCUCAACACUAAAUCAAGGUGAAGAUUUCUCCUAUUCAUCUUAUAUAAUUAUAAAAACAAUAUAUUUAAUAUAAUUUAAUUGUAAUGUCAUAAAUUGCUGUCUUGGAUGGAUGGAUCUAAGAGCUCGGUUUUUGGUUGAGCGCUCGAUGCCAUUGCAUUCGAGAGGUCGGUGGUUCGAAUCUACCUGGAUCCCUAAUUUGAACUGGUACAAUACUCCAACUAAGCUAUAUCAUCAGCUACAAGUACAUAUACUUUGACACUAGCUCUGCCACUGGAUCACGUACCUUUUAAUGAAAUUAUAUAAUAUUAUGUUUCUUUCCCUUGAUGAAGUUAUUGUAUUACUCAUUUGAAAUAUAUCUCCUACUGCGAGUAAUUGAGAUGGCGGAACUAACAUUUCAAUCCUUAAUCUUCUUACAGGUUGCUAUUUUGCGUAUGGUUGGUAACACCUAAAACUCAACUAGAGUGAGUGUUGCUACUUCAUCAAAUUUUCGUGAUUACGGUAACAUGUUUGGGGCUCAAAACUCAAAAGUACUAAAAUAUUGAGUUGGAAGUACAAAGAGAUGGAAUUAAUAACAUUUUUAAAUGUCUAGUAAAGUAAUAUUCAUAGUGUGGCAUUAAUUUUAAUCUUCAUAUUUCUCGAUUGAGUUGUUAUUAGGUAUUGCUUUCUAAGCUAGUAUUCUAACAGCUCGUUUUUUAAUUCUCUGAUGAUAUAAGCUUAGUUGGAGUAUUGUUGUUGUAGCUGGCACAAAAUGAAUAGCAGUUCCAUUUUCUUGGAGGUAUAGUACUAUAGUUGCAUUAGGAAAGAAGGUGCUGUAAGGAUUAGUAUUCCUAGCUCACAAUUAUAUAGUAAUAGUUACAUCUCUAAUUUUUUAGUGUACUAUAUAGCUGAGAAAAUUACAAUUUUAAAUCUAAUUAUAAUAUCUUUCACGUAUAAAUGUAACAAAGUACACAUUUUCCAUUU